AACUGUCUUGCCCACUGUGCCAGACUGGGCUGGAACUGAUUUACAAGAUCUGCUAUGGCCUUGAAACAUUCUUGGGAUAGAGCUGUGUGGCAUCUCCCCGAUUUGGAGGAAGCAGCGCAAUCGACCACAAGAGAAUUAGUUGCUGGAUGUUUCAAUAGAAUGAUUUACUAUAUUUACCUUGAAAAGCCAUGGAGUCAGAAUUCUCAGUGGAGGAAUUAAAACUGGCGGAGGAGGUGAUGUCAUGUUAUCCGUUGAAAUGCCAAGAUUAUCUCUAAUCUGGAAUUAUUUAGAAACAUGUAUGAGGAGAUAUCUACUGUUUCAAUUCAACCUCAAAACUGCAGUCUUUUCAAGCAGAAUUAAUGAGAAGAUUUAAUUCAUCAAAUACCUUAGCAAGAUUCUGCCAUAGUUCACAAAGGUAAUCAAAAACUUGGGCGUGUA